rnacentral:rRNA from 1 species
AGUGAACGCUGGCGGCGUGCCUAAUACAUGCAAGUCGAACGAUGAAGUCCUAGCUUGCUAGGCUGGAUUAGUGGCGCACGGGUGAGUAAUAUAUAGUUAUUCUGCCCUACACAGAGUAACAACAGGUGGAAACGACUGCUAAUACCUCAUACUCCUAUUUGACAUAAGUUAAAUAUGGAAAGUCUUUUCGUUGUAGGAUGAGACUAUAUCGUAUCAGCUAGUUGGUAAGGUAAUGGCUUACCAAGGCUAUGACGCGUAACUGGUCUGAGAGGAUGAUCAGUCAAAUUGGAACUGAGACACGGUCCAAACACCUACGGGAGGGAGCAGUAAGGUAUAUUGCGCAAUGGGGGAAACCCUGACGCAGCAACGCGGCGUGGAGGAUGACACUUUGCGGAGCGUAAACUCCUUUUAUCAGGAAAGAAUAAUGACGGUACCUGAUAAAUAAGCACCGGCUAACUCCGUG